GUGCUAUGCUUCCUGGGGAAGUUUUGCUGCCAUUUAAAGUCCCUGCUUCAUAUUCACUCUCUGUCGUUUCUCCCCCUUACAGGGCAUUCAAGGAAGAGACACUGUUCUUCUUGUGGCCAAGCUCUGAAUCCUCAAAGUUGUCAUGGCUAAAUCCAUGUGGUAUGACUACCAACCAUGGUCCCCUGUUAAUAGCAGCAAACUCAUUCUCAUUUCAGCAAGUGACCCUGCAACAAGAACUGUGAAGCUGCUUAGGUGGGCUUAACCUGCUCCAGAAAGGGACAGUCACUUCAACCAAGUACAGACUUUGCUCAUUUGCUUCCAGAUGCUCCAUCCUGCUGCACAAGAUAUAAUGGGUUGGAUUGCCAGAUUUCCAGUCAAGCCAAACAGCAUCAAACCAUUCCCUGGGAAAAGUUCAAAUGCAAAUGGUCAUACUCUGUCAGCUGUGACUCAUUGCAUCAAGUCCAGUGACUAAGAAGGUCAAAAACAAUUAAUUCAGAGACGAAGGUACCAGAGCUUUCAGUUCGGCUGCCACACUUCAGAACCACGCUCGGAAUAAAACUUG